rnacentral:rRNA from 1 species
UGAGUACGAGAUGCUACGGCAUCGAAGCAGUCUAUGUCAUACUUCCAAGAAAAGCUUGCAAUGUCAUAAACAAAUAAUGCCUGUACCAUAACCGACACAGGUGGGUAGGUAGAGUAUACUAAGGGGCGCGAGAUAACUCUCUCUAAGGAACUCGGCAAAAUGACUCCGUAACUUCGGGAGAAGGAGUGCCUUAUUUUUAUAAGGUUGCAAUAACAAGAUCCAAGCAACUGUUUACCAAAAACACAGGUCUCCGCUAAGUCGUAAGACGAUGUAUGGGGGCUGACGCCUGCCCAGUGCCAGAAGGUUAAAGAAGUUGGUUAGCAUUAGCGAAGCUGAUAACUGAAGCCCUGGUGAACGGCGGCCGUAACGAUAACGGUCCUAAGGUAGCGAAAUUCCUUGUCGGGUAAGUUCCGACCCGCACGAAAGGCGUAAUGAUUUGGAUACUGUCUCGGAGAGGGGCUCGGUGAAAUAGACUUGUCUGUGAAGAUGCGGACUACCUGCACCUGGACAGAAAGACCCUAUGAAGCUUUACAGUAACUUGAGAUUGAAAUUGGACUUUAUCUGCGCAGUAUAGGUGGGAGACGUUGAAAAUAUUCUUGCGGGAAUAUUGGAGUCAUCAGUGAGAUACCACUCUUAUAAUGUUAGAUUUCUAACUUUGUAUCAUUAUCUGGUCAAAGAACAGUUUCAGGCGGGCAGUUUGACUGGGGCGGUCGCCUCCCAAACGGUAACGGAGGCGCACAAAGGUUUCCUCUGAACGUGUAGAAAUCGUAUCUAGAGUGUAAAGGCAUAAGGAAGCUUGACUGUGAGACCUACAAGUCGAGCAGGGACGAAAGUCGGUCUUAGUGAUCUGACGGUGCUGAGUGGAAAGGCCGUCACUCAACGGAUAAAAGUUACUCUAGGAUAACAGGCUGAUCUCCCCCAAGAGUUCACAUCGACGGGGAGGUUUGGCACCUCGAUGUCGGCUCAUCGCAUCCUGGGGCGGUAGUACGUCCCAAGGGUUGGGCUGUUCGCCCAUGAAAGCGGUACGCGAGCUGGGUUCAGAACGUCGUGAGACAGUUCGGUCCAUAUCCGGUGUAGGCGUUAGAAUAUUGAGAGGAGCCUUCUUUAGUACGGGAGGACCGAGAAGGACAUACCUCUGGUGUACCAGUUAUCGUGCCAACGGUAAACGCUGGGUGGCCAUGUAUGGAGAGGAUAACCGCUGAAAGCAUCUAAGUGGGAAGCCCACCUCAAGAUAAG